UUGCUUUUGCUUGUAUUUUAAGUAAGAAUUGAUUAUAGUACCUUUUGUAUCAGGGUUAUUUAAUUAAAUAAGUGAUUUAUAUUUCUCGAUAUUAAGUGAGUUAAAUAAUAUUUUUUGUGUUGAAUAACUAUAUUAAUUUAUUUAGUAGUGAAAAUUUUUCGUAGUUUAAGGUAUCUUGUUAUUUUAUUGCUAUAAUAGGAGGGUAAGCUUUUUAUUAGGGUAUAUUGUAGGGGUAUGUGUGAUAAAUUAGGCUUAAGAUUAGCUAUAUUAUUAAAUUGUUUUAAAUUUCUUAUUUUGGCGCCCAGGGCAUUGUUUACAGGAGUAAUUGUCGAUUUUUGGGCAGGAGAAUUUAUAAUAAAUAAAUUAGUAUUUUUAUUUUUCUAUAAAUUAUAACUCGUGGUUUGUAGAAUAGUUUAUCAAAAACAUUUUUUUAUUUUUAUGAAAUAAGGCCUGCCCGGUGUAGUAUAAACGGCUGCGGUAUUUUGACUGUGCUAAGGUAGCAUAAUAAUUUGUUUUUUAAUUGGAAACUGGAAUGAAGGGUUUUAUCUACAAUUUGUUUAAGUUAUAGAGUGAAUAAUUUGUGUUUUCAGUAAAAACACUGUAAUUUUAUAAAGUGACGAUAAGACCCUAUAAGCUUUACUUGUUGAGUAAAUAGAGCUAAUGAUUUAAUGUUUUUUUAUUUGUUGAGUUUUGCUGGGGCAGCAAUGUUAUAUUAUUUAAUAUAAAAAAUACACGGGUUUGUGGAGAUAUGAUCUUUAAUAUUAAGAUAAGAAGAAGGAGUUACUGUAGGGAUAACAGCGCGAUAAUUUUGGAGAGGCCUUAUUGAUAAAAUUGAUUGCGACCUCGAUGUUGAAUUAAAAUUUCUUUUUGCUGCAGCAGGCAAUGAAGAGGGUUUGUUCAACCUUUUAAAUUUUACAUGAUUUGAGUUCAAAUCGGUUUAAGCCAGAUUGGUUUCUAUCUUUUAUUUAAGAUAAUUUGUGUUAGUACGAAAGGGACACGCAAGUUUU
rnacentral:rRNA from 1 species